rnacentral:rRNA from 1 species
ACUCCUACGGGAGGCAGCAGUAGGGAAUCUUCCACAAUGGGCGCAAGCCUGAUGGAGCAACACCGCGUGAGUGAAGAAGGGUUUCGGCUCGUAAAGCUCUGUUGUUAAAGAAGAACACGUAUGAGAGUAACUGUUCAUACGUUGACGGUAUUUAACCAGAAAGUCACGGCUAACUACGUGCCAGCAGCCGCGGUAAUACGUAGGUGGCAAGCGUUAUCCGGAUUUAUUGAGCGUAAAGAGAGUGCAGGCGGUUUUCUAAGUCUGAUGUGAAAGCCUUCGGCUUAACCGGAGAAGUGCAUCGGAAACUGGAUAACUUGAGUGCAGAAGAGGGUAGUGGAACUCCAUGUGUAGCGGUGGAAUGCGUAGAUAUAUGGAAGAACACCAGUGGCGAAGGCGGCUACCUGGUCUGCAACUGACGCUGAGACUCGAAAGCAUGGGUAGCGAACAGGAUUAGAUACCCUGGUAGGAUAGCGUAGUCGUAGGAACAAGGCACACAGGGGGAUA